rnacentral:rRNA from 1 species
CGACCUGACAUCAGGUGAGGCUACCCGCUGAACUUAARCAUAUCGUAAGCGGAGGA